UAAGCAUAUCAAUAAGCGGAGGAAAAGAAACCAACAGGGAUUGCCCUAGUAACGGCGAGUGAAGCGGCAAAAGCUCAGAUUUGAAAUCUCUUUGCUAAGAGCAAAGCGAAUUGUAAUCUGUAGAAGGUUGAAUGGCCGAAUUUUCUGAUUUAAGUUCCCUGGAAUAGGACAUCAUAGAGGGUGAGAAUCCCGUGAUUAUCAGAGGCUAGGCCACUUAAUUCACCUUUCGACGAGUCGAGUUGUUUGGGAAUGCAGCUCUAAAUGGGUGGUAAAUUUCAUCUAAAGCUAAAUACCUGCCAGAGACCGAUAGCGAACAAGUAGAGUGAUCGAAAGAUGAAAAGCACUUUGAAAAGAGAGUUAAAAAGUACGUGAAAUUGUUGAAAGGGAAGCGCUUGCAAUUAGACUUGAUAUUUAAAUUCAACCAGCCUUUGGGCUCUGGUCUACUUUUUAUUUAUCAGGCCAGCAUCAGUUCAAGGGGAUUUACAAGGGCAGUUGGAAUGUAGUAAAUGCUUCGGCAUUUAUGUUAUAGCCUCCUGUAGCAUUUUAUCCACCCUGGACUGAGGUCUGCUCUUCGGAAAGGAUGCUGGCAUAAUGAUUGUAAGCGACCCGUCUUGAA
rnacentral:rRNA from 1 species